rnacentral:rRNA from 1 species
AGAACGAACGCUGGCGGCAUGCCUAAUACAUGCAAGUCGAACGAACACUUCGGUGUUAGUGGCGCACGGGUGCGUAACGCGUGGGAAUCUGCCCUUGGGUUCGGAAUAACAGUUGGAAACGACUGCUAAUACCGGAUGAUGACGAAAGUCCAAAGAUUUAUCGCCCAGGGAUGAGCCCGCGUAGGAUUAGCUAGUUGGUGAGGUAAAGGCUCACCAAGGCGACGAUCCUUAGCUGGUCUGAGAGGAUGAUCAGCCACGAGUUGGGACUGGAGACCACGGCCCAGACCUCCGACGGGAGCAGCAGCGAAGGAAUAGUGGACAAGGUGGGCACAAGCCUAGACUCCAGCAAGUCGCCGUCGU